rnacentral:tmRNA from 1 species
GGCCCUCGCUGCCUAAGAUUGGCAGCGCGCUCACCGCAGCUUUCCCGAUGGCUGCGGAUCGAGCGUCGCAUAUCGGGUGCUCCGAUAGCGUCCGCCUGAGCGCUAUCGGCUAAGACAACAGGCUGGCCCACCGGUCGCUCUGCCACUCGCGCGACCACGGGCGAGAUAAAGCGAGGGGCUAAACCUGUAGAUGUCUGCGGUCUAGCUUUCUGGACGGGGGUUCGACUCCCCCCAUCUCCACCA